AUACGUAGGGGGCAAGCGUUGUCCGGAAUCAUUGGGCGUAAAGAGCGCGUAGGCGGUCCGGUAAGUCGGUUGUGAAAACUGGGGGCUCAACCCUCAGAGGCCGACCGAUACUGCCGGGCUAGAGUCCGGAAGAGGCGAGUGGAAUUCCUGGUGUAGCGGUGAAAUGCGCAGAUAUCAGGAGGAACACCAAUGGCGAAGGCAGCUCGCUGGGACGGUACUGACGCUGAGGCGCGAAAGCGUGGGGAGCAAACA
rnacentral:rRNA from 1 species